UAGUUAACCAUAAAAACCGAACGUCCAGUCCUACUCGUACGUCGUCGUCCUUUUUGCAUAAAAGUCCCCCUAUUGUUAAGAAUUCAACCCGCAGUCCUUUCUUAAGUGAGAAAAACGUUUCGUUCAGAAAUUUUACAAAUAAAACCCUAUGGUUUCAGGGAUUCAACCCGCAGUCCUCGGAUACAAAUCGGUUUCUGGUCUGUAGAUCGUGCGGCGGCGCUCCCGAUCCCCGAUCCGAUCGGGAGCAGGACGACGGCGGCAGAGCUCCGGGAGGCGGGGAACGACGGGGAAGUGGCGGAGGUCGGGAUCCAUCCCGGCGGUUCAUAGUGGUGGCCGGCCGCGGCGGCGCUCCUGAUCCCCGAUCCGAUCGGUAGCAGGAUGACGACGACAGAGUUCCGGGAGGCGGGGAAGUGGCGGAGGUGAGGAUGCAUCCCGGUGGUUCGUAGUGGAGGCCAGCGGCAGCGGCGCCCCAUGGCUGUGGCGACUCGGUCUUCUGGGAAGAAGAUACGAGGGAGGGAGACGAGGUGAGAUGGAGAGAACGGAAGGGAGAAUACGGACUGCGCGGCUACUUGCUGCUGGUCCAACGGCGGCUCCAGUCAUCGGAUCAGGUUUUGUCCGGAUUCCUCUCCUCCCCGCAAAAAAGGUAUGCCAUGUCGUUGUUAAUUGCUAGAGACGCUCUUCAUAAGUUCAGCCUGUGGCCAACAGCAACCUCCAGGUCACCUGAGAAUUCAGUGGCAUAGGCAUGCUCUCGCCUGAUUAAUUUUGUAUUGAAGAUUUUUCUUUGGCGUGUGGGCAGCACCCAUCAGUGUUAGAGUACAUGUUCAAUAUACAUAACAGCUUCUCUGGUGACUUACUCAUCUAAUGGUUAGAUACAAUUUUAGCAACAGUGAAUAGACGCAUGAUACGUUUGUCUGCUUCUGAAUGUUCAUAAUGUUUAAACGAUUCAAUUUUUAAAUGAUUUUGCUUUAGAAGUUGAAUCUGCACAUCGACUAUAUGCUCCAACACUGCAGGCCAACUCUUGAUGGAUUUCCAAUGUGUUGCUGGCCUCCCAAUUUUUUCCGUCGUGCAGCCGCUCCCCGUCUCCCUGCGUCGUCCCAAGAUGGUCCGGCCGGGUGCUGCCCUGACAGCCGAGCGUGUGCUAUCCACGGAACACGGCUCCUCCACCCAGGACCUCCUCCGCAACGCCGGCGAGGACACUACUUCGUCCGAACCGAUCAUCACGACCACGCGCAGGUACACACACAUGUGCUCCCUGCCACCCCUGCACUGAUUUAAGGCGAAAUCCAAUUGGGGGGUAUUGAUAGGCACCAAUGUAUUCUUGAUUGAGUUCCCAUUUCUUGAAUUACGUUGAUCCUUUUGGUAAGAUCAAACCGAACAAACUGAACAUCACUUGCCCAAACAAGCUGAACGUCAUGCUACAUUAUUGCAAAUCAGUUGCCAGGACUUUGUGUUCUUUGUACAAAACAGCCAAGACCUCGAUCACUUAUUUGUAGAGCACAAGCGAAGACACUGCUAGAUAAAUGUCUUCCCAAGCUAAAGGCUCAUGGCUCCGAAGUACUAAUAUUCUCUGAGGACCACCAUAACAUGUGAAAAAUUCGAAGAGCUUUGUGAAGAUUUGUGGGAGCGGCUCUGACUACCAAUUAAGGAAGUCCCACGCAGCGGGCAUGAAGAUUGGUCACAUAUAUAUGUAUAGUAGAGCUGAUUGAGGACUUACACGGCACCCAAACUGCAGGUUGUGGAAAAACGGAUGUAGCAUUCCUUCUACAAGUUGUCAUGAGCUGGGACAUAGAAGAAGAGAGCCGACGAGAAGUCGCACAACGGUUCGCUCCGGUGUCGCUGCCAAUGGUGCUGCGCAAAGUGCGGAUUGCAGGCUAGAUGCGUAUGAGUCCGUCCCUACGUCCAUGACGUGGAAGCAAAGGAAAUCGAUACAAUUAGAUAGUAUAUUUGGUUAUGAAAGUUGUCUUUUGUGUAGGCAGUUUUGCCAUUAUUUUGUAAAAGCUUUGAGUUUUUGGUAAUGUACUUGUCUUACUAAUCACACUUUUAACCAAUUCGUGCCAAGGCUAAUAGCCAAGUUCUGCACAAACUGUUCCUGUUUCCUUGAUGACUGCUAUUGUGAGAAGAUUCUUUUCAGCAUUUAA